GCCGGUAUGGUGAAAUUGGUAUACACGAGGGAUUCAAAAUCCCUUUCCGAAAGGAGUGGCGGUUCAAGUCCGCCUACCGGUA
rnacentral:tRNA from 2 species